UAAACAUGUUUAUACUUAUAAAUUAUACAUUAUGAAUAUAUAUAAGUAACUAAAAUUUUUAAAUUUUGGUUUAGCCCAAUGAUGAUGCUGCAAUACAGUGAGAAAGAAGAAUCUUUCAGAGUUUUCUUAGUCCUGUGAGAAAUCAGUGUCAUCCAUAGAACUUAAAAGGUCAUAGUGUGUCUUCCGUGUUCCACUGGAGGUACUGUAGAGAUGCCAGAAGGGUCUGAGGAUAAGAUCUUGGGCUCAGACUUCAUUAGAUGAGUCAUCAACUAGGAGGCCCAGAAAGCAACCCAAUAAAAGCGAUUAUUGUGACUCAUCGCUGAGGAGAAGAAAAAGAAAAAGCAAACAAACAAACAGAAACACAAGGGGUAUAUCAGGAGUCCAUCAAUCUCAAGGAUUGUCCCCUCCAAGAUUGUUAAGGAACUUCAAGCAGCUACCAGGGUACUUAUCUCCUUGUUCAUAUGCAACAAGAAGAGGCCCUUUCCUGGUAGCGCUUUCAGAAACCGAUUAAAACUUCCAGACUCUCCCAGCACAAGCCUCUUUGCAUCAAUUUGGUUUAUAUUGUCUUGUGCCCUCAACUUUGGCCUGAAGGAUGGGAAGUGUUGUGUGAUAGUGAUAAGAAGAAAAUGAUUGAGAAGGUUAAAAAUCUCAGGAGAGGUGGACAAGAUGGCUGACUAGAAGCAGCUAGUGUGUGUGGCUCUCAAAGACAGGAACUGAAAGGGUAAAUAAAUAGAGUACCUUCAACUGAAACAUCCGGGUACUCACACUGGGACUAAUCAAGGAAGCAACUCGACCCACAGAGAACAGAGAAAAUCAAGGCAGGACAAUGGCCCACCCCGGGGUGACACAAAGCCAAGAAAACCUCCCACACCCUCUCCUCCCCCAGGGAAGCAGUGAGUAA
rnacentral:lncRNA from 1 species